GACUGAUAAGGUUUGAAGACUGAACUCUCUCUACAUGGCCUUUCAAUCAGCUUCUUACAUCAAGGUUGUGGCUGACAGACAUCUCUCUGAAGUAUCAAAAGCCCACCUGUAUUUAUUGGAAACACCUGGUAAUCCUGCCUUACCCAAGGAACAAUGGGAAGCACAAAAGUAAGGGCCUGUCAGUUGUUGGAUUCUCAGUCAGUCACAUGGUGAAAAGCUGUCAUAGGAACGAACAUGCUGAUUCAGAUCAAGGUAUUCUGUGGCCCACUGCUUGGACUCCAAUAUUGGCUAGAAGUGGAUGAAUGCCAAGAAAAAAAGUAAAAAUAGGGGUUCACAGUGAUUUGUGUAAAUACAAGCCAUGACUUAGGAUCUUAUCAGUAAAAUCCACCUUUGUAGAAGACAGGAGUAACAAGAAUCCAAGA
rnacentral:lncRNA from 1 species